rnacentral:rRNA from 1 species
GAUGAACGCUAGCGGCAGGCCUAACACAUGCAAGUCGAGGGAGGAGCCUUCGGGCUUCGACCGGCGUACGGGGGCGUAACGCGUAUACAAUCAGCCAUUUACAUAGGGAUAGCGCGUAGAAAUAUGGAUUAAUACCUAAUGGUAUAUAGAGGUGGCAUCACCUUGAUAUUAAUGCUGAGGCGGUGAAAGAUGAGUAUGCGUUCUAUUAGCUAGUUGGAGAGGUUACGGCUGUGCAAGGCGACGAUAGUUAGGGGUUCUGGGAGGGAUAUCCCCCACACUGGUACUGGGCUCCGGACCAGUCUCCUACGGGCGGCAGCAGUGCGGAAUAUUGGACAAUGGUCGGUUGCCUGAUCCAGCCAAGCCGCGUGCAGGAAGACGGCCUUCUGGAUUGUAACCUGCUUUUGCAGAGGAAGAAUAAGGACUACGCGUAGUUUGAUGACGGUACUCUGCGAAUAAGCAUCGGCUAACUCCGUG